UACGUAGGGCGCAAGCGUUGUCCGGAAUUAUUGGGCGUAAAGAGCUCGUAGGCGGCUUGUCACGUCGGGUGUGAAAGCCCGGGGCUUAACCUGGAGACGCCACCCGAUACUGCUGUGGCUAGAGUCCGGUAGGGGAGCGUGGAAUUCCUGGUGUGAGCGGUGAAAUGCGCAGAGUAUCAGGAGGAACACCAGCGGCGAAGGCGGCGCUCUGGGCCGGUACUGACGCUGAGGAGCGAAAGCGUGGGGAGCGAACAGG
rnacentral:rRNA from 1 species